UACGUAGGGUGCGAGCGUUAAUCGGAAUUACUGGGCGUAAAGCGUGCGCAGGCGGUUCGACAAGUCCGAUGUGAAAGCCCCCGGGCUCAACCUGGGAAUGGCAUUGGAAACUGGCGAGCUUGAGUGUGGCAGAGGGGGGUGGAAUUCCGCGUGUAGCAGUGAAAUGCGUAGAGAUGCGGAGGAACACCGAUGGCGAAGGCAGCCCCCUGGGCUGACACUGACGCUCAGCACGAAAGCGUGGGGAGCAAACAGG
rnacentral:rRNA from 1 species